UUUACUAUUUCACUCACCAAAACAGGGCUGUAAAUUUUGAGCGAGAAAGUCCCACAUCGUUUGAAUACCUUAUUAGCUAAGAGUUUAUAAUUCUCCAGCCUUGGCACAACGUUGUCUCUUUGGGACAUCCGAUAAAAUUGGAACGAUACAGAGAAGAUUAGCAUGGCUCCUGCGCAAGGAUGACACGCACAAAUCGAGAAAUGGGAUCUCCAAUGAAGAAGUGCUUUAUAAACAAUACAAGCAGCUGCUGGUCUGUUUUUCUCAAACCGCUUAUCUUCAGCGAGACACUUGAGCAGUGCAUCAUGACUUUCCUGUUUAUAAGAGAUGGAAAUUCAACUUCAGGGAUUGGUUCAACUUUUUCUGGAUGAACUUUCUGCUCUAAAGAAGCUGCUGAAUGGUCUGUUUCUAUUUUCUCUGGAUGGACUUUCUGCUCUAA